rnacentral:rRNA from 1 species
AACGAACGCUGGCGGCAUGCCUAACACAUGCAAGUCGAACGAAGCCUACGGGCUUAGUGGCGCACGGGUGCGUAACGCGUGGGAAUCUGCCCCUUGCUUCGGAAUAACAGUUAGAAAUGACUGCUAAUACCGGAUGAAGUCUUCGGACCAAAGAUUUAUCGGCAAGGGAUGAGCCCGCGUAGGAUUAGGUAGUUGGUGGGGUAAAGGCCUACCAAGCCGACGAUCCUUAGCUGGUCUGAGAGGAUGAUCAGCCACACUGGGACUGAGACACGGCCCAGACUCCUACGGGAGGCAGCAGUGGGGAAUAUUGGACAAUGGACGCAAGUCUGAUCCAGCAAUGCCGCGUGAGUGAUGAAGGCCUUAGGGUUGUAAAGCUCUUUUACCAGGGAUGAUAAUGACAGUACCUGGAGAAUAAGCUCCGGCUAACUCCGUG